GGUAGCUUAGUGGUAGAGUGCAUGUUUUUGCAUACAGAAGGUCCCAUGUUCGAUCCCUGGCAUCUCCA